rnacentral:lncRNA from 1 species
AGCCAUCCCAGGACCACUUUCCCUGACUUUAGAACAUAUUCUGUCUUCUUCCUCCAAAAUGGCUUCUCCUAACCCCAACCCCAGACUCCUCUCAGCCCUGGCAUAUGCCUGCACCCAUCCCCUCAGCCCUCAGUGCCAUCCCUAAGCUCAGAGGUCAUAAGCUGACAAACGGUUAAGAUCUGAAGGAUGAAAAUGAGGUCAGAGGUGGUUUACAGAAUGAGUUUAAACUGGCAGGCACCUCCUUUGCUCUUCAAUGCAUUAGGAAUGGUUUUGGUACGAAUUUCCAGUGGAGGGGAGGGAGAGAACGCUUGCUUGGAUGAAUGUGUCGGGGGAAGGGCUAUAGUCAUAGGAAUAAAACCAUUGCCACUCCAAAGAGAACGUUUGAAAAAGCACAAUAAGUGACUCAGAUACAGACACCCGUGGGAACUCCAUUCACUGUGACCCAGACUUUAAUGACCCACCCACACACACCUCAAAAAGGAAACCGUCUGGGGUAUUAGUUAACACAAGGGGUGGCAGGGAUGAAUUUUCUGUUCAUUUGUCAGCAGAGUCUCCAGAGAGCUGUUUCUCUUCCUUCUUCCACGUCUCCCGAAAUCAAGGACUGUACUCUACCUGCAGACUUGGUGGGUGCCACCGUUGAACUGUGCAGACAAACACUCAGCGCGGGUCUGCCCUACACGGUCAUCUGCCUGGACUUAUGUGAAAGACCCUUUGGCACACAACUUAGACUUUGUGUUGUUAUAAAAGCCACACACAUGCGUUUGUAGACCACGUAAGGAAAGUUAAGGGUGACUCUUAGCUCGUCACACUAGCACCAAGAGGACACUGUCAGCCUUCCUGUAAGUCUUUCAUUCUCCCUGGUAUAACUGUGUGCGCACAUACUCUCACCGGCUUUUGGUUUUUGCUUUUUUGUUUGUUUGUUUUUGUUUUCUAAUGAAGAAAACUGGGUCGUGCUGUAUAUAGUCUUUAAUGACUUACUUUUCAAAUGUGUAUUUAUAUUUUAGAAUAUGCAAUAUAUGCACAGAUCUAUAAAAUUCAAAUAGUAUACAAACUCUGUAGUUGAAAGUAACUCUUCUUCCCUGUGUGCCCACAGCAAAGUACCCUCUGGUUUCUUGUGUAACCCCUUCAAGAGAUUCUCGUUUUUCAAAGAUGUGUAUAUCCUUUUAUCACUCACAAGUGGUAGCAUGUCAGAUGCUUCCCCCACCCCCACUGCUUUAUGUAAUAUGUCAUGGGCAUUUCGGCAUGUCUCUUGGACUUUUCUUCAGCAUCUUCAUGGUAUGCGUGGAUCUUUAUUUUGUAACCCAUCCACAAACACAGAUGAGUUCACCUGUUUCCAGUCUUUACUGUAAAUAAUGUUGUAACUGACAUUCUUGUCGCUAAAUUUUGCACAUGUCUGUGGCGAGUUCCUUAGGAUAUAAUCCGAGAAGGAAAUUGCGUGACUAUUUUUAAGGAUUUUGAUACAUGUUGCCAAUACCCUGUAGAGAGUUUAUACCCAGACACUGUUCUGUUUGCAGCCCCAGAGCACCCUGCUCUCUGGACUCUAAAAAGCACUAGGUUUUAUCACUUAUCAAAUCUUUGCCAAUUUGAUAGGCAAAUAACAGUACGUCAAUGGUAUUUCAACUUAUUGCUUUAACAUUCCUUGGUUAUCAGUGACUAACAUUUUCAUAUGCUUAUUGACCAUUUGAAUUUCUUUCUUUGUGAAUUUCCUAUUUGUUUGAUAUUGAUAUGUUUAUCUUUAUCUAUAUUUAUGUUUAUCUUUAUGAUCUAUUUGUAACUUUAAGAAUAUUAUUUUUGUCAAGAAAUGCAACAGAUACGCUUUCCAAGUGCUUUGCUUUCAGAUUUCAUUUAUGGUGCUUUUUAACAUACAUAAACUCCUAAUUCUGCAACUAAUUUGUUCUAUGUUGCUAGCUUUUCCUGCUGGUAUCCUCAACCCUCAUGUCUGAAAGGCCAUCUGAGCCAGCGCUUCUACAACUCCAAAAUCCUUCGUCACAUCCCAUCCUCCUUAAGAUAAAAAUCAAAAGCCAAACCCCUUAAGUAACGCUCAAGGUCUUUCCUGUACCAUCUCUCUCCAACUUCACCAGGCACACCUCCAACCCUCUUAAAGUAUCCUCCACUCCACAGCCAUGUAGCCCUAAGCCACCGAGCUGGGUCUGUGGGUCUUUCCACACUGGCCCCUGUUCCUUGUGAGGCAUUCCUAGUACCUCACCCCAUCCUUGCCAUGUGCUGACCCAGGAUCACUCCCCACACCGUAGUCUCUGUUCCUAAAGCGAAGCCUCCCUGCCUCUGCCCAGUGUCCCCCACAACUAAUCAAGGGUUUAGCUCUGGCUGUUCUGGAACUCACUAUGUGGACCAGGGUAGUUGGUCUGGAACUCAGAGAUCCUCCUGCCUCUGCCUUCCAAGUGCCAGAAUUAAAGGCGUGCACCAACACUG